CAACCCUCAAGCCCGGCUUGGUGUUGGGCCCGGCCCGUCUGCGGCCGGCCCUAAAGGCAGUGGCGGCGCCGCCCGGCCCUGAGCGCAGUACACCUCUCGCUCCAGGGCCCCGCGGUGGCCUGCCAGAACCCCCCAACUCUGU
rnacentral:misc_RNA from 1 species